rnacentral:rRNA from 1 species
AGUGAAGCGGCAAAAGCUCAAAUUUGAAAUCUGGCGUCUUUGGCGUCCGAGUUGUAAUUUGAAGAAGGUAUCUUUGGGCCCGGCUCUUGUCUAUGUUCCUUGGAACAGGACGUCACAGAGGGUGAGAAUCCCGUGCGAUGAGAUGACCCGGGUCUGUGUAAAGUUCCUUCGACGAGUCGAGUUGUUUGGGAAUGCAGCUCUAAGUGGGUGGUAAAUUCCAUCUAAACCUAAAUAUUGGCGAGAGACCGAUAGCGAACAAGUACAGUGAUGGAAAGAUGAAAAGAACUUUGAAAAGAGAGUGAAAAAGUACGUGAAAUUGUUGAAAGGGAAGGGCUUGAGAUCAGACUUGGUAUUUUGCAUGCUGCUCUCUGGGGGGCGGCCGCUGCGGUUUACCGGGCCAGCAUCGGUUUGGAGCCCCAGGAUAAUGGCGGAGGAAUGUGGCACGGCUUCUGCUGUGUGUUAUAGCCUCUGACGAUGCUGCCAGCCUAGACCGAG